AGCACGGGAGCAAUCCUGGUGGCGAGUGGCGAGCGGGUGAGUAAUAUAUCGGAACGUGCCCAGUCGUGGGGGAUAACGCAGCGAAAGCUGUGCUAAUACCGCAUACGAUCUCUGGAUGAAAGCGGGGGACUCGCAAGGGCCUCGCGCGAUUGGAGCGGCCGAUAUCAGAUUAGCUAGUUGGUGGGGUAAAAGCCCACCAAGGCGACGAUCUGUAGCUGGUCUGAGAGGACGACCAGCCACACUGGAACUGAGACACGGUCCAGACUCCUACGGGAGGCAGCAGUGGGGAAUUUUGGACAAUGGGCGCAAGCCUGAUCCAGCAAUGCCGCGUGCAGGAUGAAGGCCUUCGGGUUGUAAACUGCUUUUGUACGGAACGAAACGGUCCUUUCUAAUAAAAGGGGCUAAUGACGGUACCGUAAGAAUAAGCACCGGCUAACUACAUGCCAGCAGCCGCGGUAAUACGUAGGGUGCGAGCGUUAAUCGGAAUUACUGGGCGUAAAGCGUGCGCAGGCGGUUAUAUAAGACAGAUGUGAAAUCCCCGGGCUCAACCUGGGCACUGCAUUUGUGACUGUAUAGCUAGAGUACGGUAGAGGGGGAUGGAAUUCCGCGUGUAGCAGUGAAAUGCGUAGAUAUGCGGAGGAACACCGAUGGCGAAGGCAAUCCCCUGGACCUGUACUGACGCUCAUGCACGAAAGCGUGGGGAGCAAACAGGAUUAGAUACCCUGGUAGUCCACGCCCUAAACGAUGUCAACUGGUUGUUGGGUCUUCACUGACUCAGUAACGAAGCUAACGCGU
rnacentral:rRNA from 1 species